UACGAAGGGGGCUAGCGUUGCUCGGAAUUACUGGGCGUAAAGGGCGCGUAGGCGGAUAGUUUAGUCAGAGGUGAAAGCCCAGGGCUCAACCUUGGAAUUGCCUUUGAUACUGGCUAUCUUGAGUUCGGGAGAGGCGAGUGGAAUGCCGAGUGUAGAGGUGAAAUUCGUAGAUAUUCGGCGGAACACCAGUGGCGAAGGCGACUCACUGGCCCGAUACUGACGCUGAGGCGCGAAAGCGUGGGGAGCAAACAGG
rnacentral:rRNA from 1 species